rnacentral:rRNA from 1 species
AGUAACGCGUGGGUAACCUGCCCUUAAGUCUGGGAUACCAUUUGGAAACAGAUGCUAAUACCGGAUAAAAGCUACUUUCGCAUGAAAGAAGUUUAAAAGGCGGCGUAAGCUGUCGCUAAAGGAUGGACCUGCGAUGCAUUAGCUAGUUGGUAAGGUAACGGCUUACCAAGGCGAUGAUGCAUAGCCGAGUUGAGAGACUGAUCGGCCACAUUGGGACUGAGACACGGCCCAAACUCCUACGGGAGGCAGCAGGC